rnacentral:rRNA from 1 species
UACGUAGGGUGCAAGCGUUAAUCGGAAUUACUGGGCGUAAAGCGUGCGCAGGCGGUUAUGCAAGACAGAGGUGAAAUCCCCGGGCUCAACCUGGGAACUGCCUUUGUGACUGCAUAGCUAGAGUACGGUAGAGGGGGAUGGAAUUCCGCGUGUAGCAGUGAAAUGCGUAGAUAUGCGGAGGAACACCGAUGGCGAAGGCAAUCCCCUGGACCUGUACUGACGCUCAUGCACGAAAGCCAGGGGAGCAAACGGG